CCUACGGGAGGCAGCAGUGAGGAAUAUUGGUCAAUGGACGCAAGUCUGAACCAGCCAAGUAGCGUGCAGGAUGACGGCCCUCCGGGUUGUAAACUGCUUUUAGUUGGGAAUAAAAGGGGGCUCGUGAGCCCCGUAUUGUAUGUACCAUCAGAAAAAGGACCGGCUAAUUCGGUGCCAACAGCCGGGGUGAUACGGAGGGUCCGGGCGUUAUCCGGAUUUAUUGGGGUUAAAGGGAGCGUAGGACGGCUUUUAAGUCUGUUGUGAAAGUCCGCGGCUCAACCGUGGAAUUGCAGUUGAUACUGGAAGCCUUGAGUGCACACAGGGUUGCCGGAAUUCAUGGUGUAGCGGUGAAAUGCUUAGAUAUCAUGAAGAACUCCGAUCGCGAAGGCAAGUGUCCGGGGUGCAACUGACGCUGAGGCUCGAAAGUGCGGGUAUCAAACAGGAUUAGAUACCCCAGUAGUC
rnacentral:rRNA from 1 species